AUUUCUAUAAAUGCCCAUUCUUACCACACAUCAUCCAUGCAAGCAUAGAUUUGGUAUCAUACAGUAGAAGAGAAGCAAAAUGGAUUCAAGCUAGUUGCGAAAUGGAAUCCAGCAAGAGGGUCUCAAAGAGAGAGUCUGGUAUAAUGUAUUUAACAUUUUUCAGCUGUUCUUCCAUGUUUUUGUUUUUGAAUUUCUAACAUGCACAGUAUCAUUCCUUAGACUUGCCAACAGAAAGGAGAAUUUUUCCCAGGCACGAGAAAGGGAAAGAAGCUGGAGAUGGUAGAGAUUAGCGAGUGACCUAAACGCACAAGAAAAGGACAGAAGGAAGUGAGGGAAAAAUAUCGAAGGAGUAAGAAAAGAAUGAGAGUAAUUAAAGAGAGGAAACUAAUCUAAUCUCCCACUCUUAGGUUCAUCAUCAAGAUUAGAGGAAACUAAAAGAGGGAGAUUACAUUAGUUUCCUCUCUUAAUUACUCUCAACUCCUUUCUUAUUUUUUCGGAUUUUUCCCUCACUUCUUUUUGUCCUUCUCUUAUGCGUUUUUGUCCCUCACUAAUCUCCACCAUGUCAGCUUCUACCCCUUUCUUGCUCCUCUUGUUUGCAGACUUUAAGAGAUGAUACAUGCUUGAGAAUUGAGAUUCAAGGCAACAAGAACCACAUGCAAAAAUAAUAAUAUAGUGGUAUAUAAGAUAGAUGCCAGACUCGCGCUUUGACCUGAUCUAGCUGGAUUCCUUUGGUACUAAAUAAAUAGACAGCAUACGAGUGAAGGCAAAUCAGAGGAAUAGGUGUUUCAACUUUACAAGAACUUAGAUACAUAAUGGGCUCUGGAAGCAACUGUGAAAGCAGGAACCAAGUCCAAGAAACGCAAACCUUUUAACCCACAAAAUCUGAAAAUAUCAAAUCCUCAGCAGCUUUGGAACAGAUUCAAGCCAUUUUCAACUGUCACGUCUUUUUUUGGCCUCACCGCUUUCCCUCAGUUCAACUUUAGAGUUGAAAAGUUGAUGCUGUGGUGCCUGGUGUCUUCAAAGGAGAGCAGUCCCUCGGUCUUAAGACAGGGGAUGGCAGAUCUGUAAUGCUUUUCUUAAUUUUUUUUUUUUUUUUUGCUGCUGCUUAAAAGCUUCAACUUUGUAAGUCCUCAAGGUGAAGGCGUGAAGCAUCUUCUGUUAAGGAUGAGAAAAUGCAAGAUUGUGCCGACGGAUUUGGAGAGGCAGAGACAGCCUGCAGGGGAUAGAUAGCCUAUGGAUGGCAAGAAAAUGAUCUCUCUGUCUGCAUGAUUAGUAAUACUUUUCAAGGAGGAGAAUUAGAAGAACACAUCUGUUGUUUUUGCUUGAUUAUGGCUCAGCGUUUUGCGUCGCCUUAGAUUCCUAAACUAGAUGCAGACCUAUCUGAUUCUUUCCAGCAUCAUCAGAAAUGUCUACCCCAAAAUUACAAGGCCGUCAGCAUCUUAGCUUUGUUGGGCAGCUGUAAGGAAAGAUGUUUUCGUAAUUGAUUACUGCAAAAUUGACCAUUCUAUAGAUAUGAUUACUACAAAGAGACAUUGGGAGUCCA